rnacentral:rRNA from 1 species
GACGAACGCUGGCGGCGUGCCUAAUACAUGCAAGUAGAACGCUGAAGGAGGAGCUUGCUUCUCUGGAUGAGUUGCGAACGGGUGAGUAACGCGUAGGUAACCUGCCUGGUAGCGGGGGAUAACUAUUGGAAACGAUAGCUAAUACCGCAUAAGAGUAGAUGUCGCAUGACAUUUGCUUAAAAGGUGCAAUUGCAUCACUACCAGAUGGACCUGCGUUGUAUUAGCUAGUUGGUGAGGUAACGGCUCACCAAGGCAACGAUACAUAGCCGACCUGAGAGGGUGAUCGGCCACACUGGGACUGAGACACGGCCCAGACUCCUACGGGAGGCAGCAGUAGGGAAUCUUCGGCAAUGGACGGAAAUCUGACCGAGCAACGCCGCGUGAGUGAAGAAGGUUUUCGGAUCGUAAAGCUCUGUUGUAAGAGAAGAACGAGUGUGAGAGUGGAAAGUUCACACUGUGACGGUAUCUUACCAGAAAGGGACGGCUAACUACGUG